AACGAACGCUGGCGGCAUGCCUAACACAUGCAAGUCGAACGAGACCUUCGGGUCUAGUGGCGCACGGGUGCGUAACGCGUGGGAACCUGCCCUUAGGUUCGGAAUAACUCCCCGAAAGGGGUGCUAAUACCGGAUAAUGUCUUCGGACCAAAGAUUUAUCGCCUUUGGAUGGGCCCGCGUUGGAUUAGCUAGUUGGUAGGGUAAAAGCCUACCAAGGCGACGAUCCAUAGCUGGUCUGAGAGGAUGAUCAGCCACACUGGGACUGAGACACGGCCCAGACUACGACGGGAGAGGGCAGUAGGGGAUAUUAGGGGAUGGGCGAAGGCGUGAACCAGCAAUGCGUGGUGAGAAAGAAAGGCCGGAGGGAUGUGAAGCUGUCUGAGCCGGAGGGGUAAUGAGGGUACGGGGAAAAUAAGCACGGGCUAACUCAGUG
rnacentral:rRNA from 1 species